GAUGAACGCUGGCGGCGUGCCUAAUACAUGCAAGUCGAGCGAACAGACGAGGAGCUUGCUCCUCUGACGUUAGCGGCGGACGGGUGAGUAACACGUGGAUAACCUACCUAUAAGACUGGGAUAACUUCGGGAAACCGGAGCUAAUACCGGAUAAUAUAUUGAACCGCACGGUUCAAUAGUGAAAGACGGUUUUGCUGUCACUUAUAGAUGGAUCCGCGCCGCAUUAGCUAGUUGGUAAGGUAACGGCUUACCAAGGCAACGAUGCGUAGCCGACCUGAGAGGGUGAUCGGCCACACUGGAACUGAGACACGGUCCAGACUCCUACGGGAGGCAGCAGUAGGGAAUCUUCCGCAAUGGGCGAAAGCCUGACGGAGCAACGCCGCGUGAGUGAUGAAGGUCUUCGGAUCGUAAAACUCUGUUAUUAGGGAAGAACAAAUGUGUAAGUAACUAUGCACGUCUUGACGGUACCUAACCAGAAAGCCACGGCUAACUACGUG
rnacentral:rRNA from 1 species